AGAGUUUGAUCCUGGCUCAGAUUGAACGCUGGCGGCAGGCUUAACACAUGCAAGUCGAGCGGAGAUGAGGUGCUUGCACCUUAUCUUAGCGGCGGACGGGUGAGUAAUGCUUAGGAAUCUGCCUAUUAGUGGGGGACAACAUUCCGAAAGGAAUGCUAAUACCGCAUACGUCCUACGGGAGAAAGCAGGGGAUCUUCGGACCUUGCGCUAAUAGAUGAGCCUAAGUCGGAUUAGCUAGUUGGUGGGGUAAAGGCCUACCAAGGCGACGAUCUGUAGCGGGUCUGAGAGGAUGAUCCGCCACACUGGGACUGAGACACGGCCCAGACUCCUACGGGAGGCAGCAGUGGGGAAUAUUGGACAAUGGGGGGAACCCUGAUCCAGCCAUGCCGCGUGUGUGAAGAAGGCCUUAUGGUUGUAAAGCACUUUAAGCGAGGAGGAGGCUACUGAGACUAAUACUCUUGGAUAGUGGACGUUACUCGCAGAAUAAGCACCGGCUAACUCUGUGCCAGCAGCCGCGGUAAUACAGAGGGUGCGAGCGUUAAUCGGAUUUACUGGGCGUAAAGCGUGCGUAGGCGGCUUUUUAAGUCGGAUGUGAAAUCCCCGAGCUUAACUUGGGAAUUGCAUUCGAUACUGGGAAGCUAGAGUAUGGGAGAGGAUGGUAGAAUUCCAGGUGUAGCGGUGAAAUGCGUAGAGAUCUGGAGGAAUACCGAUGGCGAAGGCAGCCAUCUGGCCUAAUACUGACGCUGAGGUACGAAAGCAUGGGGAGCAAACAGGACUAGAUACCCUGUUAGUCCAUGCCGUAAACGAUGUCUACUAGCCGUUGGGGCCUUUGAGGCUUUAGUGGCGCAGCUAACGCGAUAAGUAGACCGCCUGGGGAGUACGGUCGCAAGACUAAAACUCAAAUGAAUUGACGG
rnacentral:rRNA from 1 species